UACGUAGGGGGCGAGCGUUGUCCGGAAUUACUGGGCGUAAAGCGCACGUAGGUGGUUUGUUAAGCUAGCUGUGAAAUCCCCGGGCUCAACCUGGGCACUGCAGUUAGAACUGGCAAGCUAGAGUAGGGUAGAGGGGUGUGGAAUUCCAGGUGUAGCGGUGAAAUGCGUAGAUAUCUGGAGGAACAUCAGUGGCGAAGGCGACACCCUGGACUCAUACUGACACUGAGGUGCGAAAGCGUGGGGAGCGAACAGG
rnacentral:rRNA from 1 species